rnacentral:rRNA from 1 species
ACGAACGCUGGCGGCGUGCCUAAUACAUGCAAGUCGAACGCUUCUUUUUCCACCGGAGCUUGCUCCACCGGAAAAAGAGGAGUGGCGAACGGGUGAGUAACACGUGGGUAACCUGCCCAUCAGAAGGGGAUAACACUUGGAAACAGGUGCUAAUACCGUAUAACAAUCGAAACCGCAUGGUUUUGAUUUGAAAGGCGCUUUCGGGUGUCGCUGAUGGAUGGACCCGCGGUGCAUUAGCUAGUUGGUGAGGUAACGGCUCACCAAGGCGACGAUGCAUAGCCGACCUGAGAGGGUGAUCGGCCACAUUGGGACUGAGACACGGCCCAAACUCCUACGGGAGGCAGCAGUAGGGAAUCUUCGGCAAUGGACGAAAGUCUGACCGAGCAACGCCGCGUGAGUGAAGAAGGUUUUCGGAUCGUAAAACUCUGUUGUUAGAGAAGAACAAGGAUGAGAGUAACUGUUCAUCCCUUGACGGUAUCUAACCAGAAAGCCACGGCUAACUACGUGCCAGCAGCCGCGGUAAUACGUAGGUGGCAAGCGUUGUCCGGAUUUAUUGGGCGUAAAGCGAGCGCAGGCGGUUUCUUAAGUCUGAUGUGAAAGCCCCCGGCUCAACCGGGGAGGGUCAUUGGAAACUGGGAGACUUGAGUGCAGAAGAGGAGAGUGGAAUUCCAUGUGUAGCGGUGAAAUGCGUAGAUAUAUGGAGGAACACCAGUGGCGAAGGCGGCUCUCUGGUCUGUAACUGACGCUGAGGCUCGAAAGCGUGGGGAGCAAACAGGAUUAGAUACCCUGGUAGUCCACGCCGUAAACGAUGAGUGCUAAGUGUUGGAGGGUUUCCGCCCUUCAGUGCUGCAGCUAACGCAUUAAGCACUCCGCCUGGGGAGUACGACCGCAAGGUUGAAACUCAAAGGAAUUGACGGGGGCCCGCACAAGCGGUGGAGCAUGUGGUUUAAUUCGAAGCAACGCGAAGAACCUUACCAAGUCUUGACAUCCGCCUGACUGAUCCUUAACCGGAUCUUUCCUUCGGGACAGGCGAGACAGGUGGUGCAUGGUUGUCGUCAGCUCGUGUCGUGAGAUGUUGGGUUAAGUCCCGCAACGAGCGCAACCCUUAUCCUUUGUUGCCAGCGGUCCGGCCGGGAACUCAAAGGAGACUGCCAGUGAUAAACUGGAGGAAGGUGGGGAUGACGUCAAAUCAUCAUGCCCCUUAUGACCUGGGCUACACACGUGCUACAAUGGGAAGUACAACGAGUCGCAAAGUCGCGAGGCUAAGCUAAUCUCUUAAAGCUUCUCUCAGUUCGGAUUGUAGGCUGCAACUCGCCUACAUGAAGCCGGAAUCGCUAGUAAUCGCGGAUCAGCACGCCGCGGUGAAUACGUUCCCGGGCCUUGUACACACCGCCCGUCACACCACGAGAGUUUGUAACACCCGAAGUCGGUGAGGUAACCUUUUGGAGCCAGCCGCCUAAGGUGGGAUAGAUGAUUGGGGUG